rnacentral:rRNA from 1 species
CCUACGGGUGGCAGCAGUGAGGAAUAUUGGUCAAUGGGCGAGAGCCUGAACCAGCCAAGUCGCGUGAAGGAUGACGGCCCUAUGGGUUGUAAACUUCUUUUGUCAGGGAGUAAUAGGGGCCACGUGUGCGCUUAGUGAGAGUACCUGAAGAAAAAGCAUCGGCAAACUCCGUGCCAGCAGCCCGGGUAAUACGGAGGAUGCGAGCGUUAUCCGGAUUUAUUGGGUUUAAAGGGUGCUCUGGCGGAAUUUAAAGUCAGGGGUAAAAAUUCGGGGCUAAACCCCGUCGUGCCGUUGAAACUGGUGGUCUUGAGUUGGCGAGAAGUAGGCGGAAUGCGUGGUGUAGCGGUGAAAUGCAUAGAUAUCACGCAGAACUCCGAUUGCGAAGGCAGCAUACCGGCGCCCAACUGACGCUGAAGCACGAAAGCGUGGGUAUCGAACAGGAUUAGAUACCCGUGUAGUC